CAUGUGACUGUGACGUCACAAGGCCGGCCCGCCCAUCACGUGACACAGCCUGCGCUGCGGGGCCCCGGCCGCGAGGGAAGGAAGGAUCUCGCGAGAGCGGGGCCGGGCCGCGGGGAGCUCCGUGGGGAGCGGUGUGAGGGGGAGUGACUGAGGGAUGAAAGUUACCUCACGGAGCGCUGCUUUACCUCCAGAAUGUGCUUCGUGCCUCUGAACAUGGGCAGUCUGAGCAGUGCAUGCAGCUGGUUGAAUAAUAUAUAUCAACCUGAAAUCUGCUAAAAGAAAAGUCUGGAACAGCAUAGGUAUUUGGUGUCCUGAAGACAUAUGUGGAUGAUUUUGGUUUUUAUUUUUUAGUUUUUUAAUUUUUUUAAAUAAAACUAUUUCUUCGCCUUUA